AAUGAAGAUCCCAACAGCAAAGUCAGCACAAGUAGAUGAUGGCACCCAUUUUGUAGAAACAAUCUAGAAAUUCAGAACCAAUCAGAUUCUGGGUCAAACAAUUAGAACUGUAAUUCCUGCUAAGGGAACAAAUAUCAAGUGCGGAGUUUCCAGACUCUAAUUGUCAAAGUUCUCAAAAUACAACCUCCUUAUCCUACUACUAACAACAAAGUUACAACCGUGAAGUCGAAUGCAUGUUGAAUGUGACACCACCUGAUUACAAAGAAGUGGAUAUAUUAAGCAAAAAUGACAAAGCUUAACAAAGUGAUUCUUGUUCCAACACCUCAUUUGCUCUGUAAAGGGUGUAG
rnacentral:misc_RNA from 1 species